AUAAGUAGUCAUGAAAGAUGAAAUGAAGCUGCGUUCCACUACUGGAAUAGUCGAGGGUCGCAAGUGAAAAUGGGAGUAGGCAGGCUGUGUGUGAUGUGUUUAAGGUCCAGAAUCGUCACCAGAAGAUAAAACACCAAGGUGCUUGAAGGAAGAGGUACGAUGUCGGCCUAAGAUAUGCUAACGCGACGAUCUGGACAGGUUCUUUGAAAAUGAUCUGAUGGACAGUGCAUAGAAAAAGGUUUACUCACGCUAUUUUGGGUUCGCCCGAAAAGACUUCCUUUCACAUUUUCUGACAGAGCGGUAUGAAGUACGACACGGACAACAUGGCUUUCAUUGACUUCACAACAGCUACGGGAAUACAAACUUCAAAAUAUUAUCAGCAACACUCCGGCGUCCGUGGCAGCGCUGUGUUGUGCAGCACGGUCAGAGACCUGGAUCAGAAAUCAAUGCCAUGAAGACAAAAAACUUCGAUAUGCCUGUUUCUCAAUGGCGAUGUAUGGUAUGGUAGAUGUAUGAGUGAUGUGGUCUGCAUCUGCGUAUUUUAAUUGGACUCAGGGAAGAUACGGCUACAGAACCAAAUAAUUAUGGGUCCAAACGGGAAGAAACAUUGCGCAAAA